UCUAAUAUGGCAGAUUUAAUGCAUUGAACUUAAGAUUCAUUCAUAAAGGUUAUCCUUUUAUUAGAU
rnacentral:tRNA from 1 species